UAUCCAGAUCCUGAAAAAUUCCAUCUUCUCCACAAAGUUUUGAUCCAUUCAGCUUCACCGCCUCCCACUCUCUUCUCCAAAUUCCUAUUCCAUUUAUCUUUUACCCCUCACGGAUGACAGUUCUUUGUCUUAUGUUUAUGAUCACCAAUUGUGCAUUUCCCUCCAUGGGGCAGCUAUAUGGUACAAAGGAUGGAGCAGUGGGCAUAGACUCAUGAAGGCUUGAAUUCAAAUGUGGCCUGACACAAUAACUGUUUGACCCCAGGAUCCACAUCUGUAAAAUGAGCUAGAGAAGGAAUGGUAAACCACUCCAGCACCUUUGCCAAGAAAACCCCAACCGAGGUCCAGAAAAGUCUGAUAUGACUGAAAAAAAAAAGACUCAGCAACAUCUACCUUAUGAAGGUAUUAUGAAUAAAAAUGAGAUUUAUCAA
rnacentral:lncRNA from 1 species